rnacentral:rRNA from 1 species
ACCAGCAGUCGUAUCACUCUGCAACUCACAACUGGCAACCCACUGAAGCUAGGCAAGUGUGAGCCUGGUCAGUACCUGGAUGGGAGACCCCCUAGGAAAAACUAAGGUUGCUGCUGGAA